AUUGAACGCUGGCGGCAUGCUUUACACAUGCAAGUCGAACGGCAGCGCGGGCUUCGGCCUGGCGGCGAGUGGCGAACGGGUGAGUAAUACAUCGGAACGUGCCCAGUAGUGGGGGAUAGCUCGGCGAAAGCCGGAUUAAUACCGCAUACGACCUGACGGUGAAAGCGGGGGAUCUUCGGACCUCGCGCUAUUGGAGCGGCCGAUGGCAGAUUAGCUAGUUGGUGGGGUAAAGGCCUACCAAGGCGACGAUCUGUAGCUGGUCUGAGAGGACGACCAGCCACACUGGGACUGAGACACGUCCCAGACUCCUACGGGAGGCAGCAGUGGGGAAUUUUGGACAAUGGGCGAAAGCCUGAUCCAGCAAUGCCGCGUGUGUGAUGAAGGCCUUCGGGUUGUAAAGCACUUUUGGCGGGAACGAAAAGGACUGUGCCAAUACCACGGUUCGAUGACGGUACCCGCAGAAUAAGCACCGGCUAACUACGUG
rnacentral:rRNA from 1 species